rnacentral:lncRNA from 1 species
CAGUCCAGUCCCGCUCCCCGACUCCGCCUCCUGCCUGCCCUAGGCCGAGUAACCCGCCACCUACCUGGCACUUGCCUCUCCUGAGGCCACAUGGCCCCCCGGGUGCCACCUCGGGAUACAUCCUGCUCCGCCGCCGCGGGGGAUUGGCGCAGCCGCUUGCAGAACGGGUGUGAGACCAAGGAAAGCUCAGAGAUCAGAACCCCAACCCUGAGUAGGGCGAUCGCUG